GUGGGUGUAGCUCAGUGGUAGAGUGCCUGCCUAGCUCGCACAGGUCCUGGGUUCAGUCCCCAGUGCCUCCA
rnacentral:tRNA from 1 species